rnacentral:rRNA from 1 species
UUGAACGCUGGCGGCAUGCCUUACACAUGCAAGUCGAACGGCAGCACGGGUGCUUGCACCUGGUGGCGAGUGGCGAACGGGUGAGUAAUACAUCGGAACAUGUCCUGUAGUGGGGGAUAGCCCGGCGAAAGCCGGAUUAAUACCGCAUACGAUCUACGGAUGAAAGCGGGGGACCUUCGGGCCUCGCGCUAUAGGGUUGGCCGAUGGCUGAUUAGCUAGUUGGUGGGGUAAAGGCCAACCAAGGCGACGAUCAGUAGCUGGUCUGAGAGGACGACCAGCCACACUGGGACUGAGACACGGCCCAGACUCCUACGGGAGGCAGCAGUGGGGAAUUUUGGACAAUGGGCGAAAGCCUGAUCCAGCAAUGCCGCGUGUGUGAAGAAGGCCUUCGGGUUGUAAAGCACUUUUGUCCGGAAAGAAAUCCUUGGCCCUAAUACGGUCGGGGGAUGACGGUACCGGAAGAAUAAGCACCGGCUAACUACGUG